rnacentral:rRNA from 1 species
UACGUAGGGGGCAAGCGUUGUCCGGAAUCAUUGGGCGUAAAGCGCGUGUAGGCGGCUCGAUAAGUCUGCUGUGAAAGUUCAGGGCUCAACCCUGAAAUGCCGGUGGAAACUGUCGAGCUAGAGUCCGGAAGAGGCGAGUGGAAUUCCUGGUGUAGCGGUGAAAUGCGCAGAUAUCAGGAGGAACACCAAUGGCGAAGGCAGCUCGCUGGGACGGUACUGACGCUGAGGAGCGAAAGCAUGGGGAGCGAACAGG